GCCGGAGUGGUGGAAUUGGUAGACACGCAGCCUUGAGGGGGCUGUAGCGAAAGCUGUGAGAGUUCGAGUCUCUCCUUCGGCACCA
rnacentral:tRNA from 2 species